UACGAAGGGGGCUAGCGUUGUUCGGAUUUACUGGGCGUAAAGCGCACGUAGGCGGACUAUUAAGUCAGGGGUGAAAUCCCGGGGCUCAACCCCGGAACUGCCUUUGAUACUGGUAGUCUUGAGUUCGAGAGAGGUGAGUGGAAUUCCAAGUGUAGAGGUGAAAUUCGUAGAUAUUCGGAGGAACACCAGUGGCGAAGGCGGCUCACUGGCUCGAUACUGACGCUGAGGUGCGAAAGCGUGGGGAGCAAACAGG
rnacentral:rRNA from 1 species